GCAAACUUGGUCAUUUAGAGGAAGUAAAAGUCGUAACAAGGUUUCCGUAGGUGAACCUGCGGAAGGAUCAUUAACAAAUCUUCAACACAAACCCUGUGUAAACGUUUGCGUUCCCUUGUGGGAUGUGAGAUGGCUAGCCUAUCACGCUAUCCCCAAGGGAUCGUCUUUAUUAUACUAUUGAUUGACAGCCUAGAUACAAAGUUAAACUAAAACAACUUUUAACAAUGGAUCUCUUGGCUCUUGCAUCGAUGAAGAACGCAGC
rnacentral:misc_RNA from 1 species